rnacentral:lncRNA from 1 species
UUCUAUAUAUUCAAGUCAACAUGUUAGUAUAAGUUCAUAUAUAUUAACUAUAGGCCAUGCAAUAGCCUGGGUUUUAGCUUUUGAAUCGGCAAAUUAUUCGGUAUAUUUGAGACAUACAAGGUGUAUCAAAAACAGGUAAUCCAAAUUUGGUAUGUUAUUGUGCAUCUAUUACUGGGUGCAUGAACGUAAUUUUUGCAUAGUCAUAAAGAUCAGGGUAUCAGCUGUUGAAUGACGUGUUUUUUGGUCAUUCUGAGCAAAACAGAACAAAUACGAGAGCGAUCAAAAUUGUCGGUCAAAAUCACAUAUUUUCACCUCCUUUGCCUAAUUAAAGCAGUGCACAACAAAAAAAAACACGCAAUUAAUCAGGAAUGUCUCAUGGCAACAAAGAGCUUAUAGCAUAAGAUUUUACCAAUAAUUAUUAGUAAUUAUGCAUACUCAGGUCGUUUGUUCAAGUGAAGUGCGUCAUCUUUCAGUCCUAGAUGGAGUAAAUUUUCAAUAAGUUUAGCCUCAAUUCCGAACGGUGAAAAUAUGGGACUUCGACUUGCAAUUUUUAUUAGGCUUAUACUUGCCCCGUUUUGCUUAUAAUGGCACAAAAAACUUGUCAUUCAACAGCUAAGACAUUGCUCUUUUAGACCAUGCAAAAAUUACGUCCAUAAACCACCAGUGCAUGUAUAAUUACCACACAAUGAAAGUUGAUUACCUGUUUUUGAUACACCCUGUAUUACUGCAGUUUUAUUUUAAUUGAUUUUCACCAGCUACAUGUAUUGACUGAUAGUGAUGCGUUUCUCUAUUAAUGAAGUGCAGUUUUUCGGUUGCUAUUAUGUAUAGCAAAGCAUCUCCAUUUUCGUCAAAUAUCUACAAAUGUUCUUUAAAAGAUAUUUUAAGAAACUAAUAAGAAUCAUACGAUUGGGAAAUUUCUUCAAAUAGAUAAGUCUUUACAUUGCUCUUGUGCAACUGAAGGUGAGUGUAUAAAACGUGAAAAACGCAUGUCAAUCAUUAUGGGGACUUGUACAAGAUUUUUUACAUUAUGAGGACUUCUCAACAAGUGUUCAUAACAUCAUUCGACUAUUUGGUGAACGCGUAUUUUAAUACUGCAGUAGUUUUUCGUUUCAAGCAGAAUCAGCUAUAGUGGAAGAAUUUUGCUUUAUGGCUUGUCAAUGAUAUUGUAAUAGAGCUGUGUCCAAAAAACCUAUUAAUGUAGUAUUAGUAUAUUUGGAAAGUCUCCGUGAAUUAUUUAAAUUAUUUGUAAUAAUUUGUAUCGUUUUAACCUAUCUUAUAAAAUCCCAAUUAAUAGAUGCAGAACAUGAUGACAGUUCAUUUAAGAUGUCGUUAAAAUUCUGAUUAUUUCUUCUUACAGUUUUCAUUCCGAUGCAAUUUUUUGAAAUUGCUUCACCCAAGCAAUGGAGUGUGAUACAUUUAGCAAGACUCGUGGAAUUUUUUGAAAUCGCCUAACCCGAGCAACGGAGUGUGAUACAUUUAAGAAGACUCGUGGAAGUUGGUAAGUUGAAUCAGCCUUGUCCUCGUCAAGGAUGAGAUCAUAAUGUAUUCUGACGUCAGCUGUCGACGUGGUAUGCACAAUCACCUAGGCUACCUAAAAGCAAUGUUAAUUAUUAGUAAUUAAGAGUCAGGAGAGACGAUAGGCGGGAGGAUAGGGGUGCGUUAUGUUUAGAUUUUGCCAAAAGUAGCGGUUCCAUGAAGAAGCAAGCGACCUAUUUUAAUCUCGUGAAACUUCAGUCGUGCGAAACUUCCAAUGGUGUCCGCGCGCAAAAAAGAAGACUGAAAACGCUCAGUUUAGACACCUAUAACUAAAGUUGAAACAUGUUCGCUCUGCCUGCGCGGGCAAAACGAUUACAAUGGAAAACGGCCUUAAUAAUGCCCUGGGGAUGAAAAAGUGAUUUACAAUUAGAACUUUAAAACUGUUAAAAAAUAGAAUACUCAAAGUGUUUUGUCUAUUCCGUGGUCUACAUAUUAUUAAGAAGCAUGACUAUUACUAAGUAAAAAUGAUCUAAAUCCGAAGUUCCAGAGAUAAACAAAACAAGGGAAAGCAAACGUUAAUCUCACCCCUUAAGGCAAUUGAUGUUUGAAAAGUCACGUGACCAGCUCCAUGCAGCCAGGGUUUUUUUCUCCUCAAGAAAAAAAGCCUGGGAACGGGGUUGCCGAUUUGGAAGAUGUAUUGUGACAUACAUGUUAGCCGAUUUCUUAAGUGGGAAUGGACAAAUUGCAUUUAAUUCCCGGA